UACAGAGGUCUCAACCGUUGUUCGGAUUCAUUGGGCGUAAAGGGUGCGUAGGCGGUCGCGCAAGUCGGAUGUGAAAUCUUAGGGCUCAACCCUGAAACUGCAUUCGAUACUGCGUGGCUCGAGUACUGGAGAGGAGACUGGAAUUUACGGUGUAGCAGUGAAAUGCGUAGAUAUCGGAAGGAACAUCAGUGGCGAAAGCGACUUCCUGGACCAAUACUGACGCUCAUGUGCGAAAGCGUGGGGAGCAAACAGG
rnacentral:rRNA from 1 species